rnacentral:rRNA from 1 species
GUUCAUGGCUCAGGAUGAACGCUAGCGGCAGGCUUAACACAUGCAAGUCGAGGGGCAGCAUAAUGGAUAGCAAUAUCUAUGGUGGCGACCGGCGCACGGGUGCGUAACGCGUAUGCAACCUACCUUUAACAGGGGGAUAACACUGAGAAAUUGGUACUAAUACCCCAUAACAUCAUGAAAGGCAUAUUUUAUGGUUGAAAAUUCCGAUGGUUAGAGAUGGGCAUGCGUUGUAUUAG